AUUGAACGCUGGCGGCAGGCCUAACCCAUGCAAGUCGAGCGGAGCGGCGGACGGCUGAGUAAUGCCUAGGAGUCUGCCUCGUAGUGGGGGAUAACGUCCGGUAACGGGCGCUAAUACCGCAUCCUAUCAGCUGAGCCUAGCUAGGAUUAGCUAGUUGUUGGGGUAAAGGCCUACCAAGGCGACGAUCCGUAACUGGUCUGAGAGGAUGAUCAGACACACUGGAACUGAGACACGGUCCAGACUCCUACGGGAGGCAGCAGUGGGGAAUAUUGGACAAUGGGCGAAAGCCUGAUCCAGCCAUGCCGCGUGUGUGAAGAAGGUCUUCGGAUUGUAAAGCACUUUAAGCUGGGAGGCGUUACCCGCAGAAUAAGCACCGGCUAACUUCGUGCCAGCAGCCGCGGUAAUUC
rnacentral:rRNA from 1 species